rnacentral:rRNA from 1 species
AGUCAAUAGAUACCCGGGUAGUCCACGCCGUAAACGAUGUCGACUUGGAGGUUGUGCCCUUGAGGCGUGGCUUCCGGAGCUAAACGCGUUAAGUCGACCGCCUGGGGAGUACGGCCGCAAGGUUAAAACUCAAAUGAAUUGACGGGGGCCCGCACAAGCGGUGGAGCAUGUGGUUUAAUUCGAUGCAACGCGAAGAACCUUACCUACUCUUGACAUCCAGAGAACUUAGCAGAGAUGCUUUGGUGCCUUCGGGAACUCUGAGACAGGUGCUGCAUGGCUGUCGUCAGCUCGUGUUGUGAAAUGUUGGGUUAAGUCCCGCAACGAGCGCAACCCUUAUCCUUUGUUGCCAGCGGUUAGGCCGGGAACUCAAAGGAGACUGCCAGUGAUAAACUGGAGGAAGGUGGGGAUGACGUCAAGUCAUCAUGGCCCUUGCGAGUAGGGCUACACACGUGCUACAAUGGCGCAUACAAAGAGAAGCGACCUCGCGAGAGCAAGCGGACCUCAUAAAGUGCGUCGUAGUCCGGAUUGGA